rnacentral:misc_RNA from 1 species
AAAGUCGUAACAAGGUCUCCGUUGGUGAACCAGCGGAGGGAUCAUUAUUAGAGCGCCGAAAGGCCGCUUGAAACCAUCGCGAACCUAUCCAUCAGCGUUGCUUCGGCGGGAGAAGGUCCCGGGGCCGCGACUCUCGCGGGCCCGGGUCCGGGGACACCACCUCUCCGGAGGUGUGCCCCGCCCGCCGGAGGUACGAAACUCUUCUGCAUCUACGUGGAUCUCUGAGUAAACAAGCAAAUAAGUUAAAACUUUCAACAACGGAUCUCUUGGUUCUG